ensembl:misc_RNA Y_RNA Y RNA
GGCUGGUUCACAUGCAGUGGUGUUCACAACUAACUGAUCACAGCCAGUUACAGAUUCCUUUGUUCCUUCUGCACUCCCACCACUUCACUUGACUAGUCUUUA